UGGGCUUUCGUAGCAGCAACUUCAUUUGGAAAUAAUUUAUACCUUAUGGAAACAGUAACAUUUCAGUUCUGAAAUAAAAAAAGUUGAAUC